ensembl:lncRNA
CUCAGUGCAAAGGCCCUAGAUCAGUCCAUCUCCAGAGAUAUAUAGAUAGACAGACAGACUUCUGGCUCCUCCAAUAGGCUGGAACUAGGAGUUGGGGAUCCAUUCUCAGCUUCUCUGGAUAUGGUAGUGCUCAGUGACAAUUGGGAAUCGUGCUGGUGUCAAUGCAAGAUGCAGAAUGUGAUAACAAGUCUCAGUAGUUCUCAACCAUAAAUGAUCCAUAAACUGGGCCUAGUAGCACACCACCUGUAAGACCAGCACUCUGGGAGGCUGAGGCAGGAGGGCUGCAAUUUCAAGCCCAGUCUGGCCAAUUUAGUGACUUACUGAGACCCUGUCUCAAAAUGAAAGAUAAAGGGCUGGGGAUGCAUCUCAGUGCAAAGGCCCUGACUUCAGUCCCUAGAAUCACCAAGUACACACACACACACACACACACACGCAUACACACACACAGUGUCGAUAGAAUAAUACCUCACUCAUUCUCAUCUACUACGGGCCAGAUGCUGUCUGUGCCUAAACAAGAAAUACAGUCUCACAGAGUUUCAAAUCUAGCAACACCACUAUCACUACCUCCCGCACCACCACCCACCAAAGAGAAGACGAUGAUAAAAGCAAGCAAGGUCGAAGCCUCUUGCAUUUAAGUGACAAGAGAUAUGACUCUAAACUGCAGUGGAUCAUUUUUCCCCUGGUAGAUGUUCCAGGACAGGAACAAGGACAACCAUCUCCCUCCCCCACUACUCUUUUAAAACAAACAAAAAGAGAAGAAAGGAGGAAUCUUUUUUUUGGUACUGGGGAUCGAACUCAGGUCUUUGCACUUGCACCACAGGCAGCGAAACCACUGAGCUAAAUCCCCGGCCCAAAAAGGAGGAAUCUUGAAGAUGGGUUGAUAAUUCCUUGUCUGAUUGUCUGGAUGCCAUACCUGAAACUGAUAAGUCAAAUUCUAACUGGACAUACCUCAGAAAACUACAUUCCAAAUGAAGUCAGUGCCUUUCUGUAUUAUAUGAACAAACUGGAACUCAAGAUGAAAAGAUCUCUAGCUCAUAGGAAGGUCUCCACGGCAUGAACUGACGCUUCCAUCAAACCUAGGCCUGAAGAAAAUGGAAAGGCAGUGAAACACAGCAACCUAGGUGAACUUUUGUACAUGAGCUGAAGCCGAUCCCAGAACACAGGUGCAUAAUUGUAAUCCUGAGGCUGAGGCAGGAAGAUCUCAAACUCAAAGUGCUGGCAUGGGCAAUUUAGCAGCUUUGCGAGCUUUGUCUCAAACUAAAAAUAAC